AUUUCUAUGAAGAAGAACUGAAAUAGGGAUGAAGAAAGUGCGUGUAGAACCCUAGCUCCCUAGAGUACUAGUUACGAUGAAGAAGAAUUCUAAAAUUACAAUUCGAUGGACGACAUCCAUGAUGAAGAAAUGGAUUUUUAUACACAGUGGGAGAAGAAAAAGAAGAAGAGGAACACGAAAUGGAGGUAUUAGAAGUAAAGGGGAAAGAAAAAAACUAGUAACAGAGUCGAGUCUUCUUCCAAAGGAGAUCAUCAUGGACACCCUAUCAUUGUUACCAGUUAAAUCCAUUUUAAGAUUCAGAAAGAUAUAUGCACCUGCCAAGAAGCAGAAGCUGGAGGUGGAUCACUCAACCUCUGAAGUUCAGGAAAGCUUUAAUACGCACAAAGAAGCACCUAAAGGAACCAGAGGAAGGAGUAGUGAGCCUUUUGUUCCUCUCACAGAAGUUGAAGAGAGUCAAGUAUCUUUUGCCUUCGCAAAGUUCAAUAGGCAGAAAAUCUUGGUUACGCAUCAGAAUUCUAACAUUGAGAUUACAGGCCAAAUUUUGCAGUGCCUGAAACCAGGUGGCUGGUUGAAUGAUGAGGUCAUAAAUGUCUACUUUGGAUUGUUGAAGGAGAGGGAACAAAGAGAACCAAAAAAGUUUUUGAAGUGUCAUUUCUUCAACACCUUCUUCUAUACCAAGUUGAUUAGUGCGAGGGAUGGUUAUGACUUCAAAUCUGUCAGAAGAUGGACUACUGAAAGGAAAAUAGGGUACAGACUUCUUGAGUGCGACAAGAUUUUUGUCCCUAUCCACAAACACAUGCAUUGGUGCUUGGCUGUUAUCAAUAAGAAGGACCGGAAGUUUCAAUAUCUUGAUUCACUCCAAGGCAUGGAUCACCAAGUUCUUAAAGACCUGGCUAGAUAUUACAUGGAAGAAGUAAAAGAUAAAAGUGGUGAAGACAUAAACACAAAUUCUUGGACAUUGGAAUAUGCUUAUGACAUACCUCAUCAGGAGAACAAGUCAGACUGUGGCAUGUUCAUGAUCAAGUAUGCUGAUUUCUACAGCAGAGGUGUUGGGCUCUGUUUUAGUCAGAAACAUAUGCCCUAUUUCCGUAAAAGAACUGCAAAAGAGAUACUUAACUUAAUAGCUGAAUGAACACGAGCUAUCAAAUUAACAGCCUACCACCAUGUCGAAGUGAGUUAAUUGGAGACCAACUGAUCUGUAAGAACAAGAUAUGCAAGGGACGAUUGCAAUAUUGAUUUUAAGUUUUGAAAUGUGAUGAUGAUAUUGGUUGGCGAACCUCAAAUUUUCGGCUGAUUCCAAAAAUUAGCAUUUGGGUGGUAGUAAUUUUGUAUUUAGCAUUGUUUCUUUUUCUCCAGUGACUUCUUACAGAACACACUAAAGCAGUUGAAAAUAUAAUCAAUUUUGUAUAUCGGAUAACGUAAGUUGGUAUGUCUUAGACUUUGGGUUGUAAGUUUGUCCGCUGUUCAGUUAGGGUCGAUAUAUGUGGAUGAAGUAAAAGACAAAUACGUAAAUCUUGGCACGCUUGAAUGUUCUAAUGGCAUACCUUGUCAGGAUUAUGGGUCGGACUGUGGCAUGUUCCAGGUGAAGCAUGCUUAUGUAACAGAUCAGUCUGUGACUCUGUGGUUUACUCAAAUAAAUCAGAAGGAUGCGCUCUGGUUCUGAAAGAGAACUGCAAAAGAGAUUCUGAUGUAUGUAUGUCAGAGUCAAGAUAAAGUGAGGUUGAACAUGGUGAUGCGAAGUUUUAAAAUAUGGAUGCACAUAAUGAAACCCCAUUUUGUCCGCAGAUUCCAAGGAUUGGGUAUUAGUCUUCAUUUUGUGCUUGCAGUUGUAAAAUGAAUUUCUUGUUCUAUUUGGAAUUCUGUUACAUCCUGGACAUAGAUAUACUGCUAUGGAAAUGACUGAUCAAAUCUCUUGCAC